rnacentral:rRNA from 1 species
GUGCCAGCAGCCGCGGUAAUACGGGGGGGGCAAGCGUUGUUCGGAAUUACUGGGCGUAAAGGGCUCGUAGGCGGCCAACUAAGUCACACGUGAAAUCCCUCGGCUCAACCGGGGAACUGCGUGUGAGACUGGAUGGCUUGAGUUUGGGAGAGGAAUGCGGAAUUCCAGGUGUAGCGGUGAAAUGCGUAGAUAUCUGGAGGAACACCGGUGGCGAAGGCGGCAUUCUGGACCAAUACUGACGCUGAGGAGCGAAAGCCAGGGGAGCAAACGGGAUUAGAUACCCCCGUAGUCC